AGUUGACAAAAUCCAGUAAAUCAUCUCGAGGCCCAAAGCACCAAAGACGAGCAUUUAUCUGUGCUAUGAUACACACAUGCCAUUAUAAAUUAAAAACACAUAAAAUUCAUGAUAUUUACAAAAAGAAAACGAAAAAAUUUGAGCAAUUUAAGUCACUGAUGCUUUCUUAAUAACAUGAUAACUCCAAAUAAAACGAAAGCAAUCAUUAGCACAAAUAAACACCAGGCGAACAUCAUUAGUAUGCUCAAAAUGUCAAAACAGAACUAAAAAAAUCCUGAGACAAGCAAAAAACUUUUUCCACUGCCAUCCCCAUCCUGCAUUGAUAUCUCAUCGGUUGGCCUUAGCAACUCUUUCAAUCUCAUCCUUUUUCUUGAUAGCAUAACUGUUGGAAGAGCCCUUUGCAGCAUUGAUGAGCUCGUCUGCCAAACAUUCUGCAAUAGUCUUGAUGUUUCUGAAAGCAGCUUCACGAGCACCAGUGGUAAGGAGGUAGAUGGCCUGGUUAACACGCCUCAGAGGAGAGAUAUCCACAGCCUGACGCCUGACAACACCAGCAGAACCAAUUCGAGUGGCAUCUUCCCGGGGCCCACUGUUAAUCACGGCAUCCACGAUAACUUGGAUUGGGUUUUGAUCAGUUAGGAGAUGAAUGAUUUCCAUAGCAUGCUUCACAAUCCUAACUGCCAUCAAUUUUUUCCCAUUGUUUCUGCCGUGCAUCAUCAAUGAGUUUGUAAGCCUCUCUACAAUUGGGCACUGGGCCUUCCUGAAACGCUUAACUGAGUACCUCCCAGCAGUGUGUGGAACAUAGGUUGCAUGCUUGGCUGGUUGGACUCCAAUGUAAUCACUCAAGGAAAUAUCAUUAACCUGAACUUCCUCAAAGGUCCAUCGGUUGAAGAGUUUAACCUCGUUGUAAGGCUGAGUAGGUUCUCCGGUCACUGGCAUCGCCGCCAAGGUUGCCGCCAUUGCUCACCUGUGAUUCCAAGAGCUGAAGGAGGAGAGAGAGUGAGUGAGGAGAGAGAGAGAGAGGGCGAAGCGGCUGUCAGCGACCAGGAACAGAGAAAAGCUUCUGAAUUCUGAUUGAAACCCUA
rnacentral:misc_RNA from 1 species